GUGCAGCAGUCGCGAAAACUCCGCAAUACGCGAAAGCGUGACGGGGCUACCCCGAGUGUCGUCCGCUGAGGACGACUUUUCCACGCUGUAAGGAGGCGUGGGAAUAAGGAGAGGGCAAGUCUGGUGUCAGCCGCCGCGGUAAUACCAGCUCUCCGAGUGGUAGGGACGAUUAUUGGGCUUAAAGCGUCCGUAGCCGGCUCGGCAAGUCUCCCGUUAAAUCCAACGAUUCAAUCGUUGGACUGCGGGGGAUACUGUUGAGCUAGGGGGUGGGAGAGGCCGACGGUAUUUCCGGGGUAGGGGUAAAAUCCUAUAAUCCCGGGAAGACCACCAGUGGCGUAGGCUGUUGGCUAGCACGCGCCCGACAGUGAGGGAUGAAAGCUGGGGGAGCGAACCGGAUUAGAUACCCGUGUAGUCC
rnacentral:rRNA from 1 species